rnacentral:rRNA from 1 species
GACGAACGCUGGCGGCGUGCCUAAUACAUGCAAGUUGAGCGCUGAAGGUUGGUACUUGUACCAACUGGAUGAGCAGCGAACGGGUGAGUAACGCGUGGGGAAUCUGCCUUUGAGCGGGGGACAACAUUUGGAAACGAAUGCUAAUACCGCAUAAAAACUUUAAACACAAGUUUUAAGUUUGAAAGAUGCAAUUGCAUCACUCAAAGAUGAUCCCGCGUUGUAUUAGCUAGUUGGUGAGGUAAAGGCUCACCAAGGCGAUGAUACAUAGCCGACCUGGGAGGGUGAUCGGCCACAAUGGGACUGAGACACGGCCCAAACUCCUACGGGAGGCAGCAGUAGGGAAUCUUCGGCAAUGGACGAAAGUCUGACCGAGCAACGCCGCGUGAGUGAAGAAGGUUUUCGGAUCGUAAAACUCUGUUGGUAGAGAAGAACGUUGGUGAGAGUGGAAAGCUCAUCAAGUGACGGUAACUACCCAGAAAGGGACGGCUAACUACGUG